AUACGGAGGGUGCAAGCGUUAAUCGGAAUUACUGGGCGUAAAGCGUACGUAGGCGGUUCGUUAAGUUAGAUGUGAAAGCCCCGGGCUUAAUCUGGGAACUGCAUUUAAAACUGGCGGACUAGAGUUGAGUAGAGGGGAGUGGAAUUUCAGGUGUAGCGGUGAAAUGCGUAGAGAUCUGAAGGAACACCAGUGGCGAAGGCGACUCCCUGGACUCGAACUGACGCUGAGGUACGAAAGCGUGGGUAGCAAACGGGAUUAGAAACCCCGGUAGUCC
rnacentral:rRNA from 1 species